CCCCAGACUCCUACGGGAGGCAGCAGUGGGGAAUAUUGCACAAUGGGGGAAACCCUGAUGCAGCGACGCCGCGUGAGUGAAGAAGUAUUUCGGUAUGUAAAGCUCUAUCAGCAGGGAAGAAAAUGACGGUACCUGACUAAGAAGCCCCGGCUAACUACGUGCCAGCAGCCGCGGUAAUACGUAGGGGGCAAGCGUUAUCCGGAUUUACUGGGUGUAAAGGGAGCGUAGACGGCAUGGCAAGUCAGAUGUGAAAGCCCGGGGCUCAACCCCGGGACUGCAUUUGAAACUGUCAGGCUGGAGUGCAGGAGAGGUAAGUGGAAUUCCUAGUGUAGCGGUGAAAUGCGUAGAUAUUAGGAGGAACACCAGUGGCGAAGGCGGCUUACUGGACUGUAACUGACGUUGAGGCUCGAAAGCGUGGGGAGCAAACAGGAUUAGAUACCCUUGUAAA
rnacentral:rRNA from 1 species